rnacentral:rRNA from 1 species
AGCAGUAGCCGCGGUAAUACGGAGGGUGCAAGCGUUAUCCGGAUUCACUGGGUUUAAAGGGUGCGUAGGCGGGCAGGUAAGUCAGUGGUGAAAUCUUCGAGCUUAACUCGGAAACUGCCGUUGAUACUAUCUGUCUUGAAUAACGUUGAGGUGAGCGGAAUAUGUCAUGUAGCGGUGAAAUGCUUAGAUAUGACAUAGAACACCGAUUGCGAAGGCAGCUCACUAAACGCUCAUUGACGCUGAGGCACGAAAGCGUGGGGAUCAAACAGGAUUAGAUCCCGAGUAGUCCCUGUCUCUUAUACA